AAGGGAAAACAGUGUUGUGUGUGUGGGUGGAAAUUGUGACGGGGACAGCCUUGUUUGAGGACAUCUCUUGCCAGCUCUAGGAAGAUGUAGGUCACAGCUGAGCUGCCUCUGCCUUAGCUUGGGCAAAUGCUCUAGCAACUCUUCUAGACGGCAAAUGCUGUUUCCAGUGAGAGAACAGCGUUUCCCAGCCAAAUCAUCCUUGGACUAACUACCUGUGAUCUAUAGCACAGACCAUAGCUGUGAAGAAAACGGGUAAGGUACCCAACUAGACGCCUAUCUGGACACAAUAGUCAACAGGAUGGAUACAGGGCGUUCUCUCCUGGAGAUGCCAGUCAGUUCAUGGAGUUGACUUGACUUGCCACAGGAGCAUGGAGGAUGGAUCACCUGCACCCUCCUCCCUCCCAUCCUCUUUGCCUCUUUAUGAGAUGCCUCUUUAUGGGAUAGCUCACAAGGUGAACAGCAACUAUCUAAUAAUCCAACUGGUGUCCCCUCUCCAAUAAGGGUUAUAACAAUCUCAUGUGGAUAUGAGAUCCUUACAGGGUAAGAAAUUUCCUCCAGUCUCAUUGUCAGUAGCCAUUUUUACUCCUGAAGCUAUGUACUUGGAGUGCCUGGACCAAGAUGGAGUAAACAAGCAAAUAGGUCCCUGAGUCCUGUGGGCACUCUGGUACUCCUAGCAGAGUGAAGGCUGUUCUGGAGCUAUUAGCAGCAUCACAAGCCACUGCUCACAACCUGGAAGGAGAAUUCCCAUACCCAACCACUGUGUGUCCCAGCGUGUGAUAUCCAUCCACAAGGAGUUCAUUCAAACUGGUCUGUUGAACAAUAAAAUAUCCCAUCAAACACA